rnacentral:rRNA from 1 species
CCCAGUUCGGAUUGCAGGCUGCAACCCGCCUGCAUGAAGUUGGAAUCGCUAGUAAUCGCGGAUCAGCAUGCCGCGGUGAAUACGUUCCCGGGCCUUGUACACACCGCCCGUCACACCAUGAGAGUCGGGAACACCCGAAGUCCGUAGCCUAACCGCAAGGGGGCGCGGCCGAAGGUGGGUUCGAUAAUUGGGGUGAAGUCGUAACAAGGUACC